rnacentral:lncRNA from 14 species
AGCGUAUGGAUAAACCAGUGCAAUUCAAGGGUCUGUGGAUCCUGGUGAACCAUGCUGGCAUUUCGCCUUCAGAGAGGUGGAAUUUGCAAGUCUAGACAACUACAAGAAUGUGGCAGAGAUCAACCUGUGGAGCACCAUAAGAAUGACAAAUUCUUUCCUGCCUUCAUUCCCAGAGCUAAAGAUCAUCAGUACAUGGAGGUUGCCUGGGAUCCAGAACCCAGAAUGAUUUCACUGAACUGCAGUUUAUGCAGUGUUGUAAUGAUUUCUGCCCCCUGCACUGUGAAAUGCCUGCAUGGCUCUCUACAAUGA